rnacentral:rRNA from 1 species
UACGGAGGAUGCGAGCGUUAUCCGGAUUCAUUGGGUUUAAAGGGUGCGCAGGCGGGGCAUUAAGUCAGUGGUGAAAUAAGACGGCUCAACUGUCUGGCUGCCAUUGAUACUGAUGUUCUAGAGUGUAAUUGGAGUGGGCGGAAUGUGUCAUGUAGCGGUGAAAUGCUUAGAUAUGACACAGAACACCGAUCGCGAAGGCAGCUCACUAAGUUAAGACUGACGCUCAUGCACGAAAGCGUGGGGAU